rnacentral:rRNA from 1 species
AUUGAACGCUGGCGGCAUGCUUUACACAUGCAAGUCGAACGGUAACAGGCCUUCGGGCGCUGACGAGUGGCGAACGGGUGAGUAAUGCAUCGGAACGUGCCCAGUCGUGGGGGAUAACGCAGCGAAAGCUGUGCUAAUACCGCAUACGAUCUGCGGAUGAAAGCGGGGGACCUUCGGGCCUCGCGCGAUUGGAGCGGCCGAUGUCAGAUUAGGUAGUUGGUGGGGUAAAGGCUCACCAAGCCAACGAUCUGUAGCUGGUCUGAGAGGACGACCAGCCCCACUGGGACUGAGACACGGCCCAGACUCCUACGGGAGGCAGCAGUGGGGAAUUUUGGACAAUGGGCGCAAGCCUGAUCCAGCAAUGCCGCGUGCAGGAAGAAGGCCUUCGGGUUGUAAACUGCUUUUGUACGGAGCGAAAAGGCUCCCUCUAAUACAGGGGGCUCAUGACGGUACCGUAAGAAUAAGCACCGGCUAACUACGUGCCAGCAGCCGCCGCAGUAA